UGGCGCUCCGGGAUGCGGGGCUGGGAACACACCAGUGCAUCCCUUCUCCCGCAGGCUCCGCUCCCUCCCCCGGAUUCCUGCUUUGCCGCGCGGUUCCAGCUUCAGAGCGCAGAAACUUUCCCGUUUGCUGCGGCGCUGACGCUGAUUUUUGGCUUAUUCGUUUUGGUGAUGAGUUCUCUUUAAAACUUUCCAAAGAAGUGGCCUGUCAAACUAUGAGUGCCCUGGGCAUCAAUGAAAACCAAGAUAUCACACUGUUCUGUAGGUGUUUGCAAAUCUUUGACACAAAGCAUUCAGCCCUGCUCUUCUUUCUCCUGUAAAAUCCCAUCCAGCUCAUUUAUUUCACUUGGAAAGUUCUGGAAUUCUCUCCAAUAUGGUUGUCUACUGGCAGGGCAGCAGAGGGUAGCAAAUGCCAAUGAAUCUGGCUGUGGAUGUGUUCUACAUUUGAGGGUGACUACUAGAAUAUUCAUUUAUUAUUGGUCUCCAUUUAAAUGCAACCCCCUUCUAAGAAGACAUUCAGUACAAACAGCACUAGAUUGCAGCAAACUGGUUCUAGUCCAGUGCUUCUGUUUUUAAAAUGGGCACUUUACAAAUAAAGAUAUAAAAAGACA